AUACCAGAAAGUGGACAUUUUCUAUUUAACUCUUUUAACCUUUCACCUGCCUCAUGAAACUCUUCAUUUGGUUUUUGGGUAGAAGAUAGAAUUUGAGUUC
rnacentral:sRNA from 1 species